ensembl:lncRNA novel transcript
ACAGGCACAGCUCCAUCGUUACAAUGGCCUCUUUAGACCCAGCUCCUGCCUCCCAGCCUUCUCUCCAGGCCCUGAACAUUCUCAGGUCUCCCUCUGUUGUCCAAGGCUGGAGUGUAGUAGUGCUAUCGCAGCUGACUGCAGCCUCAACCUUCCAGGCUGAAGCGAUCCUCCCACCUCAACCUCCCACGUGGCUGAGACUACAGGUGCUUGCCACUAUGCCCAACUAACAUUUGGAAUUUUCGUAUACGUGGAUUCUAGAGGGGUGACAGCGAAACCUGCAGGACAAGUUCGAGCAUCUUAAAAUGAUUCAACAGGAGGAGAUAAGGAAGCUCGAGGAAGAGAAAAAACAACUGGAAGGAGAAAUCAUAGAUUUUUAUAAAAUGAAAGCUGCCUCUGAAGCACUGCAGACUCAGCUGAGCACCGAUACAAAGAAAGACAAACAUCCUGAUCCAUAUGAAUUCCUCUUAUUAAGAAAAAUAAAGCAUCCAGGAUUCAAUGAAGAACUGACUAUCACCUUGUUAAUCAUUCAGAAACAUGUUGCAGGCUUAAGCCAUUUUUGAUAUAGAUACUGAAACAAUUACUUGCUAAGAGCAAACUUGAAGGUUUAUAUGUGGAAGAGACUUGCCCUGUCUCAGCUCUGCUGCCCCCUGCCCCAUACACGUGAUGGAGCAGAAAACGUGCUGUGUGAACCUGUGACUUCAGGGCCUGUUGACGUGGUCGUGCUUGCAUACUCUCUGGACUGGACCUCACUGUGGGAACAACAAGAUCAACAAGAGGAGCAAGAACAACAUCAAGAGUCAGGGCCCGGGGGUCCUGACGGGUACAGGAUGGGUACAGACCCACACAGGAAUCCCAGAGUGUGUUCCACAGCAGGACACGCCUGCGCUGAAAGAGUGGGCAGAAAGGAGCUGACCUGGGAUUAUGAUCCAAACUCAGCUGGGCCUCCCCUACCUGCCCCAGGAUUGUGGAGUGAGAACGUUGCAGCAGGGGAGAACAACGCAGCAAAGCACAGCAGGGGAACCGGAAAUGCUCACCCUUUGACAGGGUACUUUUAGUUCUGGGGCCUUAUCUUAAGGAUAUUCCAACAUAUACAAAAAGAUUCAUGCACAGAGAUAUUUACUUUAGUAUUAUUUACCAUAGGAAAAAAGUUGGAAACAAUACAUUUUAUGUUCUGUAAAAUGAAAGAACAGUUAAAUAAAUCAUGGCUCUAAGACGA